CUGCUGCCUUCCGUAGGAGUCUGGUCCGUGUCUCAGUACCAGUGUGGGGGACCUUCCUCUCAGAACCCCUAUCCAUCGUGGACUUGGUGAGCCGUUACCUCACCAACUAUCUAAUGGAACGCAUGCCCAUCUAUCAGCGAUAAUUCUUUAACAAAUAUUUCCAUGUGGAACCCCUGUUUUAUGCGGUAUUAGUCCGACUUUCGCCGGGUUACGUUCCCCUUCCUGAUAGGUAGGUUGCAUACGCGUUACUCACCCGUCGCGCCGGUCG
rnacentral:rRNA from 1 species